rnacentral:rRNA from 1 species
UACGGAGGGUGCGAGCGUUGUCCGGAAUCAUUGGGCGUAAAGGGCGCGUAGGUGGCCCGGUCAGUUCGUGGUGAAAGCGCGGGGCUCAACCCUGCGUCGGCCAUGAAUACUGCCGCGGCUGGAGCACUGUAGAGGCAGGCGGAAUUCCGGGUGUAGCGGUGGAAUGCGUAGAGAUCCGGAAGAACACCGGUGGCGAAGGCGGCCUGCUGGGCAGUUGCUGACACUGGAGGCGCGACAGCGUGGGGAGCAACAGG